rnacentral:ribozyme from 1 species
UGCCCAGCAACUCAUAUCCCUACCUCCUCGCGGUACCGGCCGGAAACUAUGAGCAACCUUAGGGAAG